AACGAACGCUGGCGGCAGGCCUAACACAUGCAAGUCGAGCGAGGACUUCGGUCCUAGCGGCGGACGGGUGAGUAACGCGUGGGAACGUGCCCUUUGCUUCGGAAUAGCCCUGGGAAACUGGGAGUAAUACCGGAUGAGCCCUUUGGGGGAAAGAUUUAUCGGCGAAGGAUCGGCCCGCGUUGGAUUAGGUGGUUGGUGGGGUAAUGGCCUACCAAGCCGACGAUCCAUAGCUGGUUUGAGAGGAUGCUCCGCCACACUGGGGCUGAGACACGGCCCAGACUCCUACGGGAGGGAGCAGUGGGGAGUCUUAGACGAUGGGGGAAACCCUGAUCAAGCCAUGCCGCGUGAGCGAUGAAGGCCUUAGGGUUGUAAAGCUCUUUCAGCUGGGAAGAUAAUGACGGUACCAGCAGAAGAAGCCCCGGCUAACUCCGUG
rnacentral:rRNA from 1 species